rnacentral:rRNA from 1 species
UACGAAGGGGGCGAGCGUUGUUCGGAUUUACUGGGCGUAAAGGGCGCGCAGGCGGUUCUGUUUGUCGAGUGUGAAAUCCCCGGGCUCAACCUGGGAACUGCAUUUGUGACUGCAUGGCUGGAGUGCGGCAGAGGGGGAUGGAAUUCCGCGUGUAGCAGUGAAAUGCGUAGAUAUGCGGAGGAACACCGAUGGCGAAGGCAAUCCCCUGGGCCUGCACUGACGCUCAUGCACGAAAGCGUGGGGAGCAAACAGG